rnacentral:lncRNA from 1 species
CGGGUCUGCCACAUUUAGUGUAGAGUCAACUCUCUGCACCUCAACGAACUUCUUCUCGAGGUAUUCGCAUAUGAUGUGAAAUUAUCGCUCUAUAUGUUUGGACUUCUGGUAAGACCUGUGCUCCUUAGCGAGGGCUAUGGCACCAUUAUUGUCGGAGUGUAGUACAAUGACAUCUGAUGGCAUCACACCCAGCUCUACAACA